UUUAGAUAGAGGUCGCGAAACAAAAGAGUACCCACUCAGAGCAAGCAGUAUGCGAUGAAGGGUGGUAAAAGGGUGUUUCGCCGAAGUGUUGUUGCAGGCUGCAGGCAAAAAUACUGGGCAUAUACUUAAAAAGUGUAUGACUGUCAUCUUAUUGAUGGGGAGCUAUCGGA
rnacentral:ncRNA from 1 species